rnacentral:RNase_P_RNA from 1 species
GCCGCUCCCCGGACGGUCGCGGUUUCAGUAGCUUGCUGGUGGAAUCGAGGAAAGUCCGGACGCCAUAGGGAGACGCGCCUUGUGAAUAACAAGGGACGGAUGGUUGAAGCCAUCCGGACGGAAAGUGCAGCAGAAAACAAACCGCCCUGGCAUGCUAGGGUAAGGGUGAAAAGGUGGAGUAAGAGCCCACCGCUCCGAGGGUAACCGAGGGGGCACGGUAAACCCCGCGUGGCGCAAGACAUAACAGGGGAAGGGUUCCCGCCCGAUCAGUAUCCCCGGGUAUUAGUCGCACCAUUCCGCAAGGGAGGUGCCCUAUUUCGGUAGGGUAAGAUAAAUGACCGUCCAGUUCUGCGAAAGUGGAAUGGACAGAAUCCGGCUUACAGGGGAGCGGCACAU